GUGCAAUUUCUGCCCAGAUUGGAACACUGCUGGAACUGUACAAAUUUCCACAGGUUGGAGUGGUUUCCAGAAAAACUGGUUGCUGUAGCAGAGGUCCCUGGUGUCACUGUGGUUUUUCUGGGGCCACAGGAGCUGGUGAAGCUGUUGGGCUGUUUGAGGAGACAGAGAUAAUGACCAUCAUCGCUGAAGAUUCUAUGAAACAGGUGGGAGAAAUAAG